rnacentral:rRNA from 1 species
UGCAUAUCAAAAAAGCGGAGGAAAAGAAACCAACAGGGAUUGCCCUAGUAACGGCGAGUGAAGCGGCAACAGCUCAAAUUUGAAAGCUAGCCUUCGGGUUCGCAUUGUAAUUUGUAGAGGAUGAUUUGGGGAAGCCGCCUGUCUAAGUUCCUUGGAACAGGACGUCAUAGAGGGUGAGAAUCCCGUAUGUGACAGGAAAUGGCACCCUAUGUAAAUCUCCUUCGACGAGUCGAGUUGUUUGGGAAUGCAGCUCUAAAUGGGAGGUAAAUUUCUUCUAAAGCUAAAUAUUGGCGAGAGACCGAUAGCGCACAAGUAGAGUGAUCGAAAGAUGAAAAGCACUUUGGAAAGAGAGUUAAAAAGCACGUGAAAUUGUUGAAAGGGAAGCGCUUGCAAUCAGACUUGUUUAAACUGUUCGGCCGGUCUUCUGACCGGUUUACUCAGUUUGGACAGGCCAGCAUCAGUUUCGGCGGCCGGAUAAAGGCUCUGGGAAUGUGGCCUCCACUUCGGUGGAGGUGUUAUAGCCCAGGGUGUAAUACGGCCAGCCGGGACUGAGGUCCGCGCUCGGCUAGGAUGCUGCGUACAGACUACAGCAA